rnacentral:rRNA from 1 species
UACGUAGGCAGCGAGCGUUGUUCGGAAUUACUGGGCGUAAAGAGUGUGUAGGCGGUGCUCUAAGUUCGGUGUGAAAUCUCCCGGCUUAACUGGGAGGAUGCGCCGGAAACUGGAGUGCUCGAGCGUGGGAGAGGAAAGCGGAAUUCCUGGUGUAGCGGUGAAAUGCGUAGAUAUCAGGAGGAACACCUGCGGUGUAGACGGCUUUCUGGACCAUUGCUGACGCUGAGACACGAAAGCGUGGGUAGCAAACAGG